AUGUCAUGGUGUGAGCAUUUUCUUAACAUCUUUUUAAACCUCUCCUAUGCAUCGAGAACAGCUUCAUCGUCUAUUUGUUUAAAAAGACAAAUUUCAUUUCUGGACUC